rnacentral:rRNA from 1 species
GACGAACGCUGGCGGCGUGCCUAAUACAUGCAAGUCGACCUUAGUGGCGAACGGGUGAGUAACACGUGGGUAAACUGCCCAGCAGACGGGGAUAACCUGUGGAAACAGGUGCGAAUACUGUAUACUGGUGGAUGGAACCGCGGGGCAUUAGCUAGUUGGUUAGGUACAGGCUCACCAAGGCCACGAUGAAUAGCCGACUGUAGAGGGUGAUCGUACACAUCGGGACUGAGCCACGGCCCAAACUCCUACGGGAGGCAGCAGUAGGGAAUCUUCGGCAAUGGACGCAAGUCUGACCGAGCAAUGCCGCGUGAGUGAAGAAGGGUUGCGGAUCGUAAAACUCUGUUGUUAGAGAAGCGGUAUCUAACCAGAAAGCCACGGCUAACUACGUGCCAGCAGCCGCGGUAAUUC